AUCCAAACCCCUCAACACAACAUUAAUUCACUAGAUCCCAUUAAAACUCCAUAGUUAAGCGCGCUUGAGCUAGAGUAGUACCAAGAUGAGUGACCUCCCGAGAAGUCCUAGUGUUUUAAAUG
rfam:Picea glauca, whole genome shotgun sequence.